GCUAGGCACAUUUGUGCAGGGGAAUCCAUGCCUCAUGCUGCUCUCCAGUCUUCCGUGGGUGUUCCUGGCCUUCAUCUUCUCCGGAUCCAGUGUAGCCCAGAGAGUUACUCAAGACCAGCCAGACAUUUCCAGUCAAGUUGGGGAGGUAGUCACACUGAGCUGUCGAUAUGAGACAAUUCAGAGCCGUUACAACAUUUUUUGGUACAAACAACUUCCCAGUGGAGAGAUGAUUUACCUUAUUGGUCAGGGUUCUUCCAGCCAGAAUGCAAGGUAUGGCCGCUACUCUUUGAAUUUACAGAGAUCACGUAAAUCCAUCAGCCUCACGAUUUCAGACUUAGAGCUGGAAGACUCUGCAAAGUACUUCUGCGCUCUCUGGGAACUCACAGUGCUUGAAGUAAUAGGAAAAGCUGAACAAAAACCCCAGAGCUUAAUAAGAGAGAGCCCUGCUGCUGCAGGACCCAGGCUGAAAUACACACCUGCAGACCCCAGACAAGAAAUGGUAGUCCUGCGGUUGCUUCAUCUGUGGUCUGGAUCAGAAGAUUUAAUUCUAAAUAAAAGCUCCUUCUAUGUCAUAUGGAAGCAGGUGCCUAAAGUAACUUUCUACUGA